AACGAACGCUGGCGGCAUGCCUAACACAUGCAAGUCGAACGAGACCUUCGGGUCUAGUGGCGCACGGGUGCGUAACGCGUGGGAACCUGCCCUUAGGUUCGGAAUAACUCCCCGAAAGGGGUGCUAAUACCGGAUAAUGUCUUCGGACCAAAGAUUUAUCGCCUUUGGAUGGGCCCGCGUUGGAUUAGCUUGUUGGUGGGGUAGUGGCUUACCAAGGCUUUGACGGGUAGCCGGCCUGAGAGGGUGACCGGCCACAUUGGGACUGAGAUACGGCCCAGACUCCUACGGGAGGCAGCAGUGGGGAAUAUUGCACAAUGGGCGGAAGCCUGAUGCAGCAACGCCGCGUGCGGGAUGACGGCCUUCGGGUUGUAAACCGCUUUCGCCUGUGACGAAGCGUGAGUGACGGUAAUGGGUAAAGAAGCACCGGCUAACUACGUG
rnacentral:rRNA from 1 species